rnacentral:rRNA from 1 species
UACAGAGGUCUCAAGCGUUGUUCGGAUUCAUUGGGCGUAAAGGGCGUGUAGGCGGGAAGGAAAGUCAGAUGUGAAAUCCCUGGGCUCAACCCAGGAACUGCAUUUGAAACUCCCUUUCUUGAGUGUCGGAGAGGAAAGUGGAAUUCCUGGUGUAGAGGUGAAAUUCGUAGAUAUCAGGAGGAACACCGGUGGCGAAGGCGGCUUUCUGGACGACAACUGACGCUGAGACGCGAAAGCGUGGGGAGCAAACAGG